ensembl:lncRNA novel transcript
GGUGGUUGCCUGUGACGUCACCGGACGCGCCCGCUUCUCGCUGGAGUGCGCACCGAGCGGCAGUGACUUCGCCGCUGCUGUAGUUCCCCGGCUGGAUGCGGUGACUGGUGCCAGUGCUCAGGCGCCCGCUGCCCUUGACCUCCCGCCCCGCGAGCCCUAACUCAGCGCAGGAGGACCGGCUGCCGCCGCCGCCGCCGCCAGGAGGUAGAUUGGGAAGUGGAGCUGGCCGUGGUCAUUGGAAAGAAAGGCAAGCACAUCAAGGUGAAGUGGAAAAGGUGGGCUCCCAGGCCAGAGUGCAGCAGAGUCCCCAGCUCCUGCCUCUCCUAGUUCUGACCUCGCUCACCAACACAUGGUGCCAGCUGUCCCUGACACUAGGAAGCAGUCAGCCUCCUUGCUCCCUGACACUGCCUUUCCCUUCACCCACCUUUGGCUGGCUCUGGCUACUAACAUGGGAUAACAGCUUUGAGAUCCCUUGCCACAGGUGUUGGUGUCACCCAUGAUCUAUCCUCCUGUAUGGCCAAAUCCCCUGCCCCCAUAGGCCACAGAUGCCAUGGCCCACGUGGCCGGCUUCACUGUGGCUCAUGACGUGAGUGCUCGUGACUGGCUAACAAGAUGCAAUGGGAAACAGUGGCUGCUGGGAAAAACCUUCGACACCUUCUGCCCUCUGGGCCCUGCCUUGGUGACCAAGGACAGUGUAGCAGAUCCACACAACUUAAAGAUCUGCUGUCGAGUGAAUGGGGAAGUGGUCCAGAGCAGCAACACCAACCAGAUGGUAUUCAAGACAGAGGACCUGAUAGCCUGGGUGUCCCAGUUUGUUACCUUUUACCCAGGGGAUGUCAUCCUGACUGGGACCCCCCCACCUCCACCCAGGUGUCGGUGUAUUCAGGAAACCUCCUGUCUUUCUCAAGGUCUCUGAAGGUCCAGACAGCACUGAUGGCGAGCUUUGGGUCCGCACACUCUGGAAAGAAGAGAGAAGUGAAGGCUCUAGGUAGGGAGAACAGAGAGCCACUGGGCACAGGCUUCUCUCCUCUUGUUUAAAGAAGCCCAGGGAGGGAUAGAGCUCUGACUGGACAGAAGACUGUACUCUGCAGCCUGCCUUCCUAGAGUUGGGUUGUCACUGUCCUGCAGGGGGCAGCAGCCACCAGCAAACACCACUGCCUGCAGGAGCCUGGGCUGACUGGUUGGGACUCACCGAAGAUCCCUUCUUCCUGGGCGGUGGCCUGCAGGAACUGGAACAGCUGCUCUGUGUAGCCCAACUCUGCAGAAGAGAGAAGACCUAGACCUGGCACCCAGCACAGACACAGCCUGCCUCGAGGACUGCAAGGGAACAAGGGCCUCACCAGUAUCGGGCAGCUGGCCCUGGCGGAGGAAGGCGGCAGCCUGUGCAAAGGCCUUGAGCAGCGGGCUGAGCAGGCGGCAGAGGAAAAGAAAGAAAUCUGGGCAGUGUGACUGCUGGCUGAGCUGGAGGGGACAGGCCGGGGUGAGUGCAGCUCCCCACCGCCUCCCUACCACCUCCCUCCAGGGGCAGCUUUUUGAAACACACCCUGAAGUACCGGCCGUCAGCCUCUCCGAAGUCAUCACUGUCACUAUCAGUAAAGUCCCCACUCGGUUUCCACAGCA